rnacentral:rRNA from 1 species
UGCAGUCGAGCGGACAGAAGGGAGCUUGCUCCCGGAUGUUAGCGGCGGACGGGUGAGUAACACGUGGGUAACCUGCCUGUAAGACUGGGAUAACUCCGGGAAACCGGAGCUAAUACCGGAUAGUUCCUUGAACCGCAUGGUUCAAGGAUGAAAGACGGUUUCGGCUGUCACUUACAGAUGGACCCGCGGCGCAUUAGCUAGUUGGUGAGGUAACGGCUCACCAAGGCGACGAUGCGUAGCCGACCUGAGAGGGUGAUCGGCCACACUGGGACUGAGACACGGCCCAGACUCCUACGGGAGGCAGCAGUAGGGAAUCUUCCGCAAUGGACGAAAGUCUGACGGAGCAACGCCGCGUGAGUGAUGAAGGUUUUCGGAUCGUAAAGCUCUGUUGUUAGGGAAGAACAAGUGCAAGAGUAACUGCUUGCACCUUGACGGUACCUAACCAGAAAGCCACGGCUAACUACGUGCCAGCAGCCGCGGUAAUACGUAGGUGGCAAGCGUUGUCCGGAAUUAUUGGGCGUAAAGGGCUCGCAGGCGGUUUCUUAAGUCUGAUGUGAAAGCCCCCGGCUCAACCGGGGAGGGUCAUUGGAAACUGGGAAACUUGAGUGCAGAAGAGGAGAGUGGAAUUCCACGUGUAGCGGUGAAAUGCGUAGAGAUGUGGAGGAACACCAGUGGCGAAGGCGACUCUCUGGUCUGUAACUGACGCUGAGGAGCGAAAGCGUGGGGAGCGAACAGGAUUAGAUACCCUGGUAGUCCACGCCGUAAACGAUGAGUGCUAAGUGUUAGGGGGUUUCCGCCCCUUAGUGCUGCAGCUAACGCAUUAAGCACUCCGCCUGGGGAGUACGGUCGCAAGACUGAAACUCAAAGGAAUUGACGGGGGCCCGCACAAGCGGUGGAGCAUGUGGUUUAAUUCGAAGCAACGCGAAGAACCUUACCAGGUCUUGACAUCCUCUGACAACCCUAGAGAUAGGGCUUUCCCUUCGGGGACAGAGUGACAGGUGGUGCAUGGUUGUCGUCAGCUCGUGUCGUGAGAUGUUGGGUUAAGUCCCGCAACGAGCGCAACCCUUGAUCUUAGUUGCCAGCAUUCAGUUGGGCACUCUAAGGUGACUGCCGGUGACAAACCGGAGGAAGGGGGGGAUGACGUCAAAUCAUCAUGCCCC